rnacentral:misc_RNA from 1 species
UCGAGUGUUACAACUCCCAAACCCUUUGUGAACCUUACCUACCGUUGCUUCGGCGGGAACGCCCGGCGCCCCUGCGUGCCCGGGCGCCCUCCCGCCGGGGGCACGAAACUCCUGCUUGCUCCAGUGUAUUCUCUCUGAGUGGCAUAAGCAAAAAUAAAAUUA